rnacentral:rRNA from 1 species
UACGAAGGGGGGCUAGCGUUGUUCGGAAUUACUGGGCGUAAAGCGCGCGCAGGCGGUCUUCCAAGUCAGUGGUGAAAGCCCGGAGCUCAACUCCGGAACUGCCAUUGAAACUGUUAGACUUGAGGAUGAGAGAGGUGAGUGGAAUUCCCAGUGUAGAGGUGAAAUUCGUAGAUAUUGGGAAGAACACCAGUGGCGAAGGCGGCUCACUGGCUCAUUCUGACGCUCAGGCGCGACAGCGUGGGAUCAACAGG